GGCAGGGACAACAAGAUGGUGUUGCAAACCCGAGUCCUCAUCACCUUGUUGCUAUGGGUCUCUGGUGUCUGUGGGGACAUCACGGUGACUCAGUCUCCAGCCUCUCUGGCUGCGUCUCUAGGAGAGAGAAUCACCAUCAAUUGUAAGUCCAGCCAGAGUCUUUUAUCCAGCUCAAACCAGAAGAACUACCUAGCCUGGUACCAGCAGAAACCAGGACAGCCUCCUAGAAUGCUGAUCUAUGCAGCCUCUAACCGGGCAUCUGGGGUCCCUGACCGCUUCAGUGGCAGUGGGUCUGGCACAGAUUUCACUCUCACCAUCAGCAGCCUCCAGGCUGAAGAUGUGGCAGAUUACUACUGUCAGCAGUAUUAUAGCUCUCCACCCACAGUGCUUCAGCCUCAAUCAAAAACCUCCUCCCUAGGCCAUGGGUCAGUGAUCCUUUCUGCACCAGCUACUUCCUCCUCACAUAACCCUGAUCUCACAUCCAUCCUAUCUGUCUGGGAGGUUUCAUUUAGUGAUGUAGUUCUUGGAGGGUUUACAGGAUUUAGGAGAAAAUUCCAGAACUGGCCUUUUUUCUGGAUCCCUUUUCAUGGGAGGUUAUUGAUGAGAAAUGUCAGGCUGUUCAAGAGAUUUUUAAGUGUUUUUGAGUAUCUGGAACUUGAAUAUUUCUUGUGGAUAUAUUUUAUGACUGAGCCAAGAAAAUUAAUCUUUACCAUUUAA